rnacentral:tmRNA from 1 species
CCCCUCGAAAUCCGGAGGCGGCCAUGCCAUAUUGGUCCUGCCGCUUGCGGCUAUGGCGAUAAACGGAUCGUGGAAUAAGCGUUGCGGACCCGGGGGCAGUGCCCGGCGCCUCCACCAACCAUCCCCGCCUUGUCGGGCGGGGACGAUGGGGGCGAAACAGGCUCGACGCGCGCGGUAAAGACGCUCCUUUUGCCCGGCAUGGUACCGCCGUCAUCGGACCAAAUCACAAGUGCCAACGAUAACAGCCGCGAGGCUGUGGCGCUCGCUGCCUAGGAAUAGGUAAGCGCGGGUCGGGGGGCCCCGGGCAACAGAAGCCCCCCACU